GCAACUAUAGUAUAAUGGAUAGAACGCGAGACUCCGACUCUCGAAAUGUGGGUUCGAUUCCCGCUAGUUGCA
rnacentral:tRNA from 1 species